rnacentral:rRNA from 1 species
UACGGAGGGUGCAAGCGUUAAUCGGAAUUACUGGGCGUAAAGCGUGCGUAGGCGGUUCGUUAAGUCUGUUGUGAAAGCCCCGGGCUCAACCUGGGAAUGGCAAUGGAUACUGGCGAGCUAGAGUGUGUCAGAGGAUGGUGGAAUUCCCGGUGUAGCGGUGAAAUGCGCAGAUAUCAGGAGGAACACCGAUGGCGAAGGCAGCUCGCUGGGACGGUACUGACGCUG